rnacentral:rRNA from 1 species
GACCCCAUGCCGAACUCAGAAGUGAAACGCCGUAGCGCCGAUGGUAGUGUGGGGCUUCCCCAUGUGAGAAUAGGGAACUGCCAGGC